GAACUGAAGAGUUUGAUCAUGGCUCAGAUUGAACGCUGGCGGCAGGCCUAACACAUGCAAGUCGAGCGGAUGAAGGGAGCUUGCUCCUGGAUUCAGCGGCGGACGGGUGAGUAAUGCCUAGGAAUCUGCCUGGUAGUGGGGGAUAACGUCCGGAAACGGGCGCUAAUACCGCAUACGUCCUGAGGGAGAAAGUGGGGGAUCUUCGGACCUCACGCUAUCAGAUGAGCCUAGGUCGGAUUAGCUAGUUGGUGGGGUAAAGGCCUACCAAGGCGACGAUCCGUAACUGGUCUGAGAGGAUGAUCAGUCACACUGGAACUGAGACACGGUCCAGACUCCUACGGGAGGCAGCAGUGGGGAAUAUUGGACAAUGGGCGAAAGCCUGAUCCAGCCAUGCCGCGUGUGUGAAGAAGGUCUUCGGAUUGUAAAGCACUUUAAGUUGGGAGGAAGGGCAGUAAGUUAAUACCUUGCUGUUUUGACGUUACCAACAGAAUAAGCACCGGCUAACUUCGUGCCAGCAGCCGCGGUAAUACGAAGGGUGCAAGCGUUAAUCGGAAUUACUGGGCGUAAAGCGCGCGUAGGUGGUUCAGCAAGUUGGAUG
rnacentral:rRNA from 1 species